rnacentral:rRNA from 1 species
AUUGAACGCUGGCGGCAGGCUUAACACAUGCAAGUCGAGCGGAGAGAGGUAGCUUGCUACUGAUCUUAGCGGCGGACGGGUGAGUAAUGCUUAGGAAUCUGCCUAUUAGUGGGGGACAACAUUUCGAAAGGAAUGCUAAUACCGCAUACGUCCUACGGGAGAAAGCAGGGGAUCUUCGGACCUUGCGCUAAUAGAUGAGCCUAAGUCGGAUUAGCUAGUUGGUGGGGUAAAGGCCUACCAAGGCGACGAUCUGUAGCGGGUCUGAGAGGAUGAUCCGCCACACUGGGACUGAGACACGGCCCAGACUCCUACGGGAGGCAGCAGUGGGGAAUAUUGGACAAGAGGCGCAAGCCUGAUCCAGCCAUGCCGCGUGUGUGAAGAAGGCCUUAUGGUUGUAAAGCACUUUAAGCGAGGAGGAGGCUACUUUAGUUAAUACCUAGAGAUAGUGGACGUUACUCGCAGAAUAAGCACCGGCUAACUCUGUG